UGGACUGCUCAAUGAUGAGAUCUCAUUAAAUAGCCGCAGUAUCCUGACUGCGUGAAAGUAGCAUAAUAAUUUGCCUUUUAAUUGGUGGCUGGUAUCAAUGGUAUCAUGAGAGUGGGGCUGUCUCUUACGCAAUCUUUUGAAACUACCUAUUAGGUGAAAAGGCCUAAAUAAUUUUAUAAGACAAGAAGACCCUGUCAAGCUUUACAGCAGAUAAGAGUAAUUAAUAGUUCCUUUAUUUUAUUUUGCUGUUUGAUUGGGGCAAUCGGGGAGUUAGAAAAAAUCUCCCUUUUUAGUUUAACCUGUCAAGGUAUGACCCACUGUUAGUGAUCGUAGGAAGAAGUUACUGCAGGGAUAACAGCGUAAUUUUUUUUGUGAGUUCUUAUUUAAAAAAAAGUUUGCGACCUCGAUGUUGGAUUAGGGUAUCCUGAAGGUGCAGAAGCUUUCAAGGGU
rnacentral:rRNA from 1 species